rnacentral:lncRNA from 1 species
AAAUAAAACAUAUGAAUUUGCAAAGUUUAUAAAAACGUGUCACUUUCAAUUCGAAAACACACUUUUGAGUUUUUUCACAGGUUGUAAGUUGACUUAUGUCAAGGUGGGAUAUAUUUGGCCAGUAGGUUUAAUUCCUUGGAGUUACGUACCUUCUACCUUCCUAUUUUCACCCGUCCUUACAUAUUAUUCAUUUUUUUCACUCAUGGGUACUAGAAUUUUGACUUUCUUUUUUCUUUUUUUUCAAAAGCUCUAAAUUUUGAACAUUAUAAUAGUUUUUCUAUCUUCAAUUUUUU